GACGAACGCUGGCGGCGUGCUUAACACAUGCAAGUCGAACGAAGUGGCGAACGGGUGAGUAACGCGUAAUCAACCUGCCCUUCAGAGGGGGACAACAGUUGGAAACGACUGCUAAUACCGCAUACUGAAGGCGGGGAUUGCGUCUGAUUCGCUAGUUGGAGUGGUAACGGCCCACCAAGGCGAUGAUCCGUAGCCGGGCUGAGAGGAUUAACGGCCACAUGGGGCCUGAGACACGGCCCAGUACCGUACGGGAGGUAGCAGUGGGGAAUCUUCCGCAAUGGACGAAAGUCUGACGGAGCAACGCCGCGGGAGUGAUGACGGCCUUCGGGUUGUAAAGCUCUGUUAAUCGGGACGCGGUACCGGAAUAGAAAGCCACGGCUAACUACGUGCCAGCAGCCGCGGUAAUAC
rnacentral:rRNA from 1 species